GCCCCGAGCGUUGUUCGGACUCAUUGGGCGUAAAGGGUGCGUAGGCGGCGCGGAAAGUCCGGCGUGAAAGGCAGGGGCUCAACCUCUGGACUGCGUUGGAUACUUCCGUGCUUGAGGACUGGAGGGGAGACUGGAAUUCACGGUGUAGCAGUGAAAUGCGUAGAUAUCGUGAGGAAGACCGGUGGCGAAGGCGAGUCUCUGGACAGAUCCUGACGCUGAGGCACGAAGGCUGGGGGAGCGGACAGGAUUAGAUACCCUGGUAGUCCCAGCAGUAAACGAUGUGAGCUUGAUGUGGGGGGAUUCGACCCCUUCCGUGUCGAAGCUAACGCGAUAAGCUCACCGCCUGAGGAGUACGGCCGCAAGGCUAAAACUCAAAGAAAUUGACGGGGACCCGCACAAGCGGUGGAGUAUGUGGCUUAAUUCGAUGCAACGCGAAGAACCUUACCUGGCCUUGACAUGCAUUGUGUCGUCGGUGAAAGCCGGCUAGUCCUGGAAACAGGACGCUUUGCACAGGUGCUGCAUGGCUGUCGUCAGCUCGUGUCGUGAGAUGUUGGGUUAAGUCCCGCAACGAGCGCAACCCUUGUGGUCAGUUACUAACCGGCUUAGCCGGAGGACUCUGGCCAGACUGCCCUGUCAAACGGGGAGGAAGGUGGGGACGACGUCAAGUCAGUAUGGCCCUUAUGGCCAGGGCUGCACACGUACUACAAUGCCCGGUACAAUGUGAACCGAAACCGCGAGGUGGAGGAAAUCGCUCUUGAAAACCGGGCCCAGUUCGGAUUGGAGUCUGCAACUCGACUCCAUGAAGUCGGAAUCGCUAGUAAUGGCGUAUCAGCAACGACGCCGUGAAUACGUUCCCGGGUCUUGUACACACCGCCCGUCACAUCAUGGAAGUCUCCUGUACCCGAAGCACGUGCGCCAACCUUUCAGGAGGCAGCGUUCGAAGGUAUGGGAGCUACCUGGGAUGAAGUCGUAANCAAGUAACC
rnacentral:rRNA from 1 species